GUGCCUGUGACUAGAGGGAACAAGGUGCUCCCUGGGUCUCUGAUUUGCUGCAGGCUGAGUGUGAAUGAUGUCAGGCAGAUCAGAGGACAGCUGAUUCAGUUAGGAUCUGGAACUUUUUGCUCUCUUGGGCUCUCAGAUUUGUGAGGAGAUUCUGAAUGCUGUGCUGGUCACUUUUUUUUUUUUUUUUUUGAGAAAAAUAUAUUAAUGUUAGCCAUGAGUUUUGAGAACCUUUCUAAGUUUUUACUGCCUGAAAUGCCUCUUAUGUGAAAGAAGUGUCUGCUGAGAUCAUCCAUUGUGAGAGGACAGUUCUUGAGUAGUCAGGAGAAUGAUGAAACGGAGGAGAGAGAGACUGGGAGCACCGAGCCUACGGAUUCAGUAAGGAGGCUGGGGUCUCUGACUGGAAACUGGCAGGUGUCAGGAAAAAACUAGUGCCAAGUAACUCCUUCAUUUCUUGGAUGAAGACUCUGCUUUGGCAAUGUCUGUUAGGAAGAGGGCAGAGCUAACUUUAUUGAUUCAAGGUCAAAGAAUGGUCUGUGGUGUUUCCAAUUCUGGAAACUGAGAAUUCAUUUUUUAGGGGUUCUUUGGUGCUUGUAGAAGCUUGGUUAACAAUAAACAUAGUUUCCCCCUUGCCUUGAAAGCAAGUUUUUAAAGUUCUUGUCAGAGACGCAAAUAAAAAAGCCUCCAGAAUAUGAGGAAAAGAAAAAUAGAAAGCAUUUCUCCUUUGACUCAAGUUGUGGAGGAUUACAUUUCUGUCCUUUGCCUGUCAGCUCCUAACCUCAGGCCUCCCCUUGCAGAUCCACGUGACGUCCUUUGCUUUAAAUUCUGUUUCUCCUUUGGCUAAAACAAACUAUUAGGUGAAGAUUUCAAAACUGGGAAAUGGGGAAGAGGGUUCGAUUUUUCAGUAUGGUUUCCCAAGAUCUACACAGAUUUAUUUAGUAGAGAAGUGUUGAGUAAAUCACAAACAGUGGAAGAAUCCUAGUGUCCAUGUCUCCUCCGUGUGCCUUGAGUUGUGCCUUAAAUUUCCGGUCUGAGGGAGCAAACUUUCCUCCUGGGUGUUUGUGCUCAUGGUGGCUUUCUGUAGGUGUAGGCCUUUAGCAUGCUCAUUGGCUGUAUAAUUAUUCUACUAGUUCUUACAAAAUAUUAUAAUAUAAUUGGCAUUUUGGGAAACG
rnacentral:lncRNA from 1 species